rnacentral:rRNA from 1 species
GACUAAGCGUACACGGUGGAUGCCCUGGCAGUCAGAGGCGAUGAAGGACGUGCUAAUCUGCGAUAAGCGCCGGUAAGGUGAUAUGAACCGUUAUAACCGGCGAUUUCCGAAUGGGGAAACCCAGUGUGAUUCGUCACACUAUCAUUAACUGAAUCCAUAGGUUAAUGAGGCGAACCGGGGGAACUGAAACAUCUAAGUACCCCGAGGAAAAGAAAUCAACCGAGAUUCCCCCAGUAGCGGCGAGCGAACGGGGAGGAGCCCAGAGCCUGAAUCAGCAUGUGUGUUAGUGGAAGCGUCUGGAAAGGCGCGCGAUACAGGGUGACAGCCCCGUACACAAAAGCGCAUGUGCUGUGAGCUCGAUGAGUAGGGCGGGACACGUGGUAUCCUGUCUGAAUAUGGGGGGACCAUCCUCCAAGGCUAAAUACUCCUGACUGACCGAUAGUGAACCAGUACCGUGAGGGAAAGGCGAAAAGAACCCCGGCGAGGGGAGUGAAAAAGAACCUGAAACCGUGUACGUACAAGCAGUGGGAGCACAGGUUUACCUGUGUGACUGCGUACCUUUUGUAUAAUGGGUCAGCGACUUAUAUUCUGUAGCAAGGUUAACCGAAUAGGGGAGCCGGAGGGAAACCGAGUCUUAAUUGGGCGUUAAGUUGCAGGGUAUAGACCCGAAACCCGGUGAUCUAGCCAUGGGCAGGUUGAAGGUUGGGUAACACUAACUGGAGGACCGAACCGACUAAUGUUGAAAAAUUAGCGGAUGACCUGUGGCUGGGGGUGAAAGGCCAAUCAAACCGGGAGAUAGCUGGUUCUCCCCGAAAGCUAUUUAGGUAGCGCCUCGUGAAUUCAUCUCCGGGGGUAGAGCACUGUUUCGGCUAGGGGGCCAUCCCGGCUUACCAACCCGAUGCAAACUGCGAAUACCGGAGAAUGUUAUCACGGGAGACACACGGCGGGUGCUAACGUCCGUCGUGAAGAGGGAAACAACCCAGACCGCCAGCUAAGGUCCCAAAGUCAUGGUUAAGUGGGAAACGAUGUGGGAAGGCCCAGACAGCCAGGAUGUUGGCUUAGAAGCAGCCAUCAUUUAAAGAAAGCGUAAUAGCUCACUGGUCGAGUCGGCCUGCGCGGAAGAUGUAACGGGGCUAAACCAUGCACCGAAGCUGCGGCAGCGACACUGUGUGUUGUUGGGUAGGGGAGCGUUCUGUAAGCCUGUGAAGGUGGCCUGUGAGGGUUGCUGGAGGUAUCAGAAGUGCGAAUGCUGACAUAAGUAACGAUAAAGCGGGUGAAAAGCCCGCUCGCCGGAAGACCAAGGGUUCCUGUCCAACGUUAAUCGGGGCAGGGUGAGUCGACCCCUAAGGCGAGGCCGAAAGGCGUAGUCGAUGGGAAACGGGUUAAUAUUCCCGUACUUGGUGUUACUGCGAAGGGGGGACGGAGAAGGCUAUGUUGGCCGGGCGACGGUUGUCCCGGUUUAAGCGUGUAGGCUGGUUUUCCAGGCAAAUCCGGAAAAUCAAGGCUGAGGCGUGACGACGAGGCACUACGGUGCUGAAGCAACAAAUGCCCUGCUUCCAGGAAAAGCCUCUAAGCAUCAGGUAACAUCAAAUCGUACCCCAAACCGACACAGGUGGUCAGGUAGAGAAUACCAAGGCGCUUGAGAGAACUCGGGUGAAGGAACUAGGCAAAAUGGUGCCGUAACUUCGGGAGAAGGCACGCUGACACGUAGGUGAAGUGAUUUACUCAUGGAGCUGAAGUCAGUCGAAGAUACCAGCUGGCUGCAACUGUUUAUUAAAAACACAGCACUGUGCAAACACGAAAGUGGACGUAUACGGUGUGACGCCUGCCCGGUGCCGGAAGGUUAAUUGAUGGGGUCAGCGCAAGCGAAGCUCCUGAUCGAAGCCCCGGUAAACGGCGGCCGUAACUAUAACGGUCCUAAGGUAGCGAAAUUCCUUGUCGGGUAAGUUCCGACCUGCACGAAUGGCGUAAUGAUGGCCAGGCUGUCUCCACCCGAGACUCAGUGAAAUUGAACUCGCUGUGAAGAUGCAGUGUACCCGCGGCAAGACGGAAAGACCCCGUGAACCUUUACUAUAGCUUGACACUGAACAUUGAGCCUUGAUGUGUAGGAUAGGUGGGAGGCUUUGAAGUGUGGACGCCAGUCUGCAUGGAGCCGACCUUGAAAUACCACCCUUUAAUGUUUGAUGUUCUAACGUGGACCCGUAAUCCGGGUUGCGGACAGUGUCUGGUGGGUAGUUUGACUGGGGCGGUCUCCUCCUAAAGAGUAACGGAGGAGCACGAAGGUUGGCUAAUCCUGGUCGGACAUCAGGAGGUUAGUGCAAUGGCAUAAGCCAGCUUGACUGCGAGCGUGACGGCGCGAGCAGGUGCGAAAGCAGGUCAUAGUGAUCCGGUGGUUCUGAAUGGAAGGGCCAUCGCUCAACGGAUAAAAGGUACUCCGGGGAUAACAGGCUGAUACCGCCCAAGAGUUCAUAUCGACGGCGGUGUUUGGCACCUCGAUGUCGGCUCAUCACAUCCUGGGGCUGAAGUAGGUCCCAAGGGUAUGGCUGUUCGCCAUUUAAAGUGGUACGCGAGCUGGGUUUAGAACGUCGUGAGACAGUUCGGUCCCUAUCUGCCGUGGGCGCUGGAGAACUGAGGGGGGCUGCUCCUAGUACGAGAGGACCGGAGUGGACGCAUCACUGGUGUUCGGGUUGUCAUGCCAAUGGCACUGCCCGGUAGCUAAAUGCGGAAGAGAUAAGUGCUGAAAGCAUCUAAGCACGAAACUUGCCCCGAGAUGAGUUCUCCCUGAGACUUAGAGUCUCCUGAAGGAACGUUGAAGACGACGACGUUGAUAGGCCGGGUGUGUAAGCGCAGCGAUGCGUUGAGCUAACCGGUACUAAUGAACCGUGAGGCUUAACCUU